AGCCAUACCGCGUGGGUGAAGAAGGCCUUCGGGUUGUAAAGCCCUUUUGUUGGGAAAGAAAUCCAGCUGGCUAAUACCCGGUUGGGAUGACGGUACCCAAAGAAUAAGCACCGGCUAACUUCGUGCCAGCAGCCGCGGUAAUACGAAGGGUGCAAGCGUUACUCGGAAUUACUGGGCGUAAAGCGUGCGUAGGUGGUCGUUUAAGUCCGUUGUGAAAGCCCUGGGCUCAACCUGGGAACUGCAGUGGAUACUGGGCGACUAGAGUGUGGUAGAGGGUAGCGGAAUUCCUGGUGUAGCAGUGAAAUGCGUAGAGAUCAGGAGGAACAUCCAUGGCGAAGGCAGCUACCUGGACCAACACUGACACUGAGGCACGAAAGCGUGGGGAGCAAACAGGAUUAGAUACCCUGGUAGUCCACGCCCUAAACGAUGCGAACUGGAUGUUGGGUGCAAUUUGGCACGCAGUAUCGAAGCUAACGCGUUAAGUUCGCCGCCUGGGGAGUACGGUCGCAAGACUGAAACUCAAAGAAAU
rnacentral:rRNA from 1 species